rnacentral:rRNA from 1 species
UCUUACGGUCAUGUGACGUUCAAUGCACCGGUUCUCGUCCGAUCACCAAAGUUGAGCAAGGUCAGUUAUGACUUAGAUGAGUGUCCGCUUAGGAAACUUAUGUGCUGCAAGCA